UACGGAGGGUGCGAGCGUUGUCCGGAAUCAUUGGGCGUAAAGGGCGCGUAGGUGGCGGGACAAGCGUGCGGUGAAAGCUCGGGGCUCAACCCCGCGUCGGCCGUGCGAACUGUUUUGCUUGAGCACUGUAGAGGCAGGCGGAAUUCCGGGUGUAGCGGUGGAAUGCGUAGAGAUCCGGAAGAACACCGGUGGCGAAGGCGGCCUGCUGGGACGUGGCUGACGCUGAGGCGCGACAGCGUGGGGAGCAAACAGG
rnacentral:rRNA from 1 species